UACAGAGGGUGCGAGCGUUAAUCGGAAUUACUGGGCGUAAAGGGUACGUAGGCGGUCAUUUAAGUCGGAUGUGAAAGCCCUGGGCUCAACCUGGGAAUUGCAUUCGAUACUGGAUGGCUGGAGUCUGGCAGAGGCUGGCGGAAUUCCCGGUGUAGCGGUGAAAUGCGUAGAUAUCGGGAGGAACAUCAGUGGCGAAGGCGGCCGGGUGGGCCAAGACUGACGCCGAGGUACGAAAGCGUGGGGAGCAAACAGG
rnacentral:misc_RNA from 1 species